rnacentral:lncRNA from 10 species
UCAGGACAGGCCAGUGCGGAGGCAAGGCCAUGGCGACUUGACUAGGCGGCCUGCUGCUUCCACCUCUUUUUCCUCUUCCAUCAGGUGGAAGAAGAGGGGGGCCGGAAGGGGAGCAGGUGAGCGGCCUGGACACCUGGUGCGUGCAUGCCACGGUGGCCUCUGAAUGUCCUCAUCUGCUGUGGGCUGCUGAUGUUCCCAGUCGAUGGCUGGAAAAACUGAGGCUGGGCUGAGACUGCCUCUGAGGCCAAGUGGUGGCUAUAGUGGCCCCAGGUUGAACCAAGUAUGAAGCUAGUCCAGGAUAGGACAGGGUAGCAGGAAGGGGCCCUUAUCUAGAAGGCUAGGCCUCCCUAGACAACCUGGGACGUCCCCAUCCAAUCUCUGGGCCCAGAUGGGCUCUGAAAUAUCCUGUUCCUGUAGGGCCCGGGUUGCAGGGUGUUGUGCCGCUCCCACGGUGACUGGAUCUUUUGUGUGUUCCUCUGUUUGUCUCACAUUUACUGAGCGCACACUUAGGGGUCAGGCACUGUUCCAGGCACCAGGGAUCCCAUAGGAAAGAGAAGAAAAGUCUCUGUCCUCAGAGGAUUUACCUCCGUGCCUUUCAUCUUGGGAGAGCAGGGAGGGGCACAGGGUGACUAUGGGGCAGUCACUGUUGAGAACCACCCCUCCUCCCACAUAUCCCUUCAUUGGAGGAAAUAAAUAAAUCACACCCAACACCUCACUUAUCUGGAACAAGAGGGACUUUUCUGGAUAAGUGAAGUGAAGCCAACUCUCCCUAUAUAUAUUUUUUCAUGGAAGGCCACUGAAAAAGUAGAAACGCCAACUAUAUUUAAAACCUAUGUGUUUUCCAGCCAGUCACUGUGGCUCAUGCCUGUAAUCCCAGCACUUUGGGAGGCCAAGGUGGGCGGAUCACCUGAGGUCAAGAAGUUCAAGACAAGCCUGGCCAACAUGGCAAAACGCCAUCUCUACUAAAAAAUAGAAAAAUUCACCUGGUGUGGUGGCUUGUGCCUGUAGUCCCAGCUACUUGGGAAGCUG